rnacentral:misc_RNA from 1 species
CGGCGGGCGGCUCCAUGUUACUGCAUUGAUCUGCCGGCUGGCUUGCUUUGUUGAUUUUGUGUGCUGGUGCUUGCACCUGUGGGCUAAUUAUCGUGGCUCCUGUGUUGACUACCUGAUGUAUGGAAUUUUCUCAAUCGAUUUGUCCCUUCUCCUUAGGACUGCCCCUUGUGGGACGUCGGGGAGCGUGAAGAGGCCCUAGUGUUCCCGGUGUGUUGCCCUCAAAGCAGCGCGACUUUUGGCAUGUUAGGCGUCUCUGUGCCCUCGGAUUCGGUGCUCUCGGAUGGCUCUCGGUGUGUAUUCACUUUGUGCCAUAUUUGACAAAUUUCAUUGAAAUGACGCUCGAUGCCCUCUUCGUCUCGGUGGUACUUCGGUGUCGCCAUGUUGAUUGGGCUCGAUGUCUUUGAGGGUUGUUACCUGGUUGAUAAUGCCAGUAUCAUAUGCUUG